UAUCAGUCAUGCAUAGCAUAUCAAUAAGCGGAGGAAAAGAAACUAACAAGGAUUCCCCUAGUAACUGCGAGUGAAGCGGGAAGAGCUCCAAAUUUGAAAUCUUAAAAGGUUUUCCUUUUACGAAUUGUAGUUUAAAGAAGUGUUUUCUGUUGAAAAUUUUAGUAAAAGUUCUUUGGAAUAGGACAUCAUAGAGGGUGAGAAUCCCGUAUUUGACUAGAAUUUUUCAACUUUGUGAUACACUUUCAAAGAGUCGGAUUGUUUGGGAAUGCAGUCCAAAAUGGGUGGUAAAUUUCAUCUAAAGCUAAAUUAUUGGCGAGAGACCGAUAGCGAACAAGUACCGUGAGGGAAAGAUGAAAAGAACUUUGAAAAGAGAGUUAAAUAGUACGUGAAAUUGUCAAAAGGGAAGCGUUUGGCACCAGUGUUGUUUUUCUAAAAAUCGAUUUAAAAUUUAGCUUAUGUUAAGUAUUUUAGACUUAAUCAGGCUAAUAUAUUUAGUUUUUUGUAAUUUUUGAAUGCACUUUUUAGUUAACAAGUCAACAUCAAUUUCUUUUGUUGUAAAAAGAAUAAGAGGAAGGUGGCUUGGGAAUUUAGUUUCAAGUGUUUAUAGCCUUUUAUUUAUGCAAUAGGAGGGAUUGAGGUCUGCAGCAUAGAUCCUUCGGGGGCUAAGAUGCAUUUGUGCUAAGAGCUCAGUAGUUAUAUAAACAACUUGUUGAUUAUAGUAGUAUGUUGAUUUCUACUCGCAGAGUGUUAUUUUACCUACGCUUAGGAUGUUGACGCAUGAGAUAUACGC
rnacentral:rRNA from 1 species